CAGUCGCCGCGGUAAUACGAAGGGGGCUAGCGUUGUUCGGAAUUACUGGGCGUAAAGCGCACGUAGGCGGACUUUUAAGUCAGGGGUGAAAUCCCGGGGCUCAACCUCGGAACUGCCUUUGAUACUGGAAGUCUUGAGUAUGGAAGAGGUUAGUGGAAUUGCGAGUGUAGAGGUGAAAUUCGUAGAUAUUCGCAGGAACACCAGUGGCGAAGGCGGCUAACUGGUCCAUAACUGACGCUGAGGUGCGAAAGCGUGGGGAGCAAACAGGAUUAGAUACCCCCGUAGUCCCUGUCUCUUAUAC
rnacentral:rRNA from 1 species